rnacentral:rRNA from 1 species
UAUUAAGCGGAGGAAAAGAAACUAACUAGGAUUCCCUCAGUAGCGGCGAGCGAACAGGGAGAAGCCCAGCACCGAAUCCCGCGGUCGUAACCGAUCGCCGGGACAUGUGGUGUUAAGAAGGGUCCGUUAUCUCGAGAGUUUGCGGCGCGUCCAAGUCCAUCUUGAACGGGGCCACUGCCCAUAGAGGGUGCCAGGCCCGUAGCGACCGCUGCUACCUUCGAGAGGAUCUCUUCUGAGAGUCGGGUUGCUUGAGAGUGCAGCCCUAAGUGGGUGGUAAACUCCAUCUAAGGCUAAAUAUGACCACGAGACCGAUAGCGAACAAGUACCGUGAGGGAAAGUUGAAAAGAACUUUGAAGAGAGAGUUCAAGAGUACGUGAAACCGUUCAGGGGUAAACCUGAGAAACCCGAAAGUUCGAAUGGGGAGAUUCAUUCGCGAACCGGUGGUCGGCUCGGGGUGUCGGUGAGACGGCGGCGUUCGCGCCGUCCGCUUCCUUCGUCUCGAGAAUCGAUCCCGGACGCGUGCACUUCUCCCCUAGUAGGACGUCGCGAUCCGUUGAGUGCAGGUCUACGGCCCGCGGUGGAGCCCGUCAGCUUCGGUUCGCCGUCGCUUUCGGACCCGCGGUCGCCCGACCUGCUCGCUCGACGGUUGAACGAUGGCGUGAGGUCGCGACUUCAGUUCGCGUUCGACCCGUGGCAAGCUCGUCAUCGCGAGUCGGUGAUCGGACCUAGCGCCGAUCCCGACCGCUGACGGCUGUUCGCCGCGGUGUUCUCGAACGGACCUUUCGAAACGCCGAUCGGCGACGCUAUAGCUUUGGGUACUUUCAGGACCCGUCUUGAAACACGGACCAAGGAGUCCAGCGUGUGCGCGAGUCAUUGGGAUAUCACUAAACCUAAAGGCGAAAUGAAAGUGAACGUCCGCCUAGCGCGGACAGAGGGAAGACGGUCGGUCUCGCGGGACCGACCAGCAUUCCCGGGGCGUCUCGUUCUCAUUGCGAGAAGAGGCGCACCAAGAGCGUACACGCUGGGACCCGAAAGAUGGUGAACUAUGCCUGGUCAGGACGAAGUCAGGGGAAACCCUGAUGGAGGUCCGUAGCGAUUCUGACGUGCAAAUCGAUCGUCGGAACUGGGUAUAGGGGCGAAAGACUAAUCGAACCAUCUAGUAGCUGGUUCCCUCCGAAGUUUCCCUCAGGAUAGCUGGCGCUCGUUGCGUACGAGUCUCAUCCGGUAAAGCGAAUGAUUAGAGGAAUUGGGGUCGAAACGACCUCGACCUAUUCUCAAACUUUAAAUGGGUGAGAUCUCCGGCUUGCUCGAAUGUGAAGCCGCGAGAUAACGGAUCAGAGUGCCAAGUGGGCCAUUUUUGGUAAGCAGAACUGGCGNNNNNNNNNNNNNNNNNNNNNNNNNNNNNNNNNNNNNNNNNNNNNNNNNNNNNNNNNNNNNNNNNNNNNNNNNNNNNNNNNNNNNNNNNNNNNNNNNNNNGGAAUCCGCCAAGGAGUGUGUAACAACUCACCUGCCGAAGUUACUAGCCCUGAAAAUGGAUGGCGCUGAAGCGUCGUGCUUAUACUCGGCCGUCAGCGGCAUGUGCGGCCGCGCGUAGCGCGACCAUGAAGCCCUGACGAGUAGGAGGGUCGCGAAGGUGCGCGCAGAAGGGCUGGCCGUGAGGCCGUCUGGAGCCGCCUUCGGUGCAGAUCUUGGUGGUAGUAGCAAAUACUCCAGCGAGGCCCUGGAGAGCUGAGGUGGAGAAGGGUUUCGUGUGAACAGCCGUUGCACACGAGUCAGUCGAUCCUAAGCCCUAGGCGAAAGCCGAUGUUGAUGUGGCGUUGUUAAGCGUGCGACGAGCGCCUACGUAACGCGACCGACUGAGCAGACGUACACGCAUGGAGACACUGUUUACGCAGUUCUCGGUCGUGUAACUGCACGAUGUGUCGUAAUGGUAGAAUCGCUCUGCGCGUCAUGCACGUCCGUCGGGCGAAAGGGAAUCCGGUUCCUAUUCCGGAACCCGGCAGCGGAACCGUCAUUAAAUCGGGCCCUCAUCAGAGAGUUCGUCGGGGUAACCCAAAAGGACCCGGAGACGCCGUCGAGAGAUCCGGGAAGAGUUUUCUUUUCUGCAUGAGCGUUCGAGUUCCAUGGAAUCCUCUAGCAGGGAGAUAUGGUUUGGAACGCGAAGAGCACCGCACUUGCGGCGGUGUCCGGAUCUUCUCCUCGGACCUUGAAAAUCCGGGAGAGGGCCACGUUUAAGCGUCGCGCCGGAUCGUACCCAUAUCCGCAGCUGGUCUCCAAGGU